rnacentral:misc_RNA from 1 species
GCAAACUUGUCAUUUAGAGGAAGUAAAAGUCGUAACAAGGUUUCCGUAGGUGAACCUGCGGAAGGAUCAUUAAAGAUUCGGGCUUCGGCCCUACCUCUUCAGCUGUGCGCUUCGGCUGCACGUUGUCGAAACUCUCACACCUGUGCACCUUUUCGGUUGCGGCGGCGUUCGCGCGUCGCUUCCGCUUUACAUUAAACUACAAAAGUCCAGAAUGUCAAAACCAUAUUAUAAAUACAACUUUCAACAACGGAUCUCUUGGCUCUCGCAUCAAUGAAGAACGCAGC